rfam:Marine metagenome 1096626119229, whole genome shotgun sequence.
AUCGUUCAAUUUGCUUAAAGCAAAUCGGAAGUAGGUUUAAACCGAAGGAACGCGGA